rnacentral:rRNA from 1 species
GAUGAACGCUGGCGGCGUGCCUAAUACAUGCAAGUCGAGCGCGAGAGUGAGGAGCUUGCUCCUCAUAAUCGAGCGGCGGACGGGUGAGUAACACGUAGGCAACCUACCCUUGAGAUUGGGAUAAUUACCGGAAACGGUAGAUAGUACCGGAUACGACUUUUCCACAUAAGUGGAAUGGUUAAAAGGCGGAUUUAUCUGCCGCUCAUGGAUGGGCCUGCGGUGCAUUAGCUAGUUGGGGAGGUAGUGGCUCACCAAGGCGACGAUGCAUAGCCGACCUGAGAGGGUGAUCGGCCACACUGGGACUGAGACACGGCCCAGACUCCUACGGGAGGCAGCAGUAGGGAAUCUUCCGCAAUGGACGAAAGUCUGACGGAGCAACGCCGCGUGAGUGAUGAAGGGUUUCGGCUCGUAAAACUCUGUUGUUAAGGAAGAACACUUGAGGUAGUAACUGGCCUUGAGAUGACGGUACUUAACCAGAAAGCCCCGGCUAACUACGUGCCAGCCGCCGCCGUAA